UACGAAGGGGGCGAGCGUUGUUCGGAGUUACUGGGCGUAAAGGGAGCGUAGGCGGCUUGUUAAGUUGGUCGUGAAAGCCCGGGGCUCAACCCCGGAAUUGCGAUCAAGACUGGCUGGCUUGAGUCCGGGAGAGGUGCGUGGAAUUCCCAGUGGAGAGGUGAAAUUCGUAGAGAUUGGGAAGAACACCGGUGGCGAAGGCGACGCACUGGACCGGUACUGACGCUGCGGCGCGAAAGCGUGGGGAUCAAACAGG
rnacentral:rRNA from 1 species